rnacentral:rRNA from 1 species
AACGAACGCUGGCGGCAUGCCUAACACAUGCAAGUCGAACGAAACCUUCGGGUCUAGUGGCGCACGGGUGCGUAACGCAUGGGAACCUGCCCUUAGGUUCGGAAUAACUCCCCGAAAGGGGUGCUAAUACCGGAUAAUGUCUUCGGACCAAAGAUUUAUCGCCUUUGGAUGGGCCCGCGUUGGAUUAGCUAGUUGGUAGGGUAAUAGCCUACCAAGGCGACGAUCCAUAGCUGGUCUGAAAGGAUGAUCAGCCACACUGGGACUGAGACACGGCCCAGACUCCUACGGGAGGCAGCAGUGGGGAAUAUUGGACAAUGGGCGAAAGCCUGAUCCAGCAAUGCCGCGUGAGUGAUGAAGGCCUUAGGGUUGUAAAGCUCUUUUACCCGGGAUGAUAAUGACAGUACCGGGAGAAUAAGCUCCGGCUAACUCCGUG